rnacentral:ribozyme from 1 species
AAAAAGAAAGAAAGAAAGAAAGAAAAGAAAAGAAAAUCGAGGGCACAUGUUGGUCCUUUUGUUCUCAUCUGCUCCUUUUGUUUUUCUCUUAGUUU